UACGUAGGGGGCUAGCGUUGUUCGGAAUCACUGGGCGUAAAGCGCACGCAGGCGGAUUGAUAAGUCAGGGGUGAAAUCCCGGAGCUCAACUUCGGAAUUGCCUUUGAUACUGUCUGUCUUGAGUCCGGGAGAGGUGAGUGGAAUUCCUAGUGUAGAGGUGAAAUUCGUAGAUAUUAGGAAGAACACCAGUGGCGAAGGCGGCUCACUGGCCCGGUACUGACGCUCAUGUGCGAAAGCGUCGGGGAGCAAACAGG
rnacentral:rRNA from 1 species